rnacentral:rRNA from 1 species
GACGAACGCUGGCGGCGUGCUUAACACAUGCAAGUCGAACGAAGUGGCAAACGGGUGAGUAACGCGUAAUCAACCUGCCCUUCAGAGGGGGACAACAGUGGGAAAAGACUGCUCAUACCGCAUACUGAAGGAGGGGAGUGCGUCUGAUGUGCUAGUUGGAGGGGUAACGGCCCACCAAGGCGAUGCUCGGUAGCCGGUCUGGGGGGAUGAACGGCCACAUUGGGACUGAGACACGGCCCAGACUCCUACGGGAGGCAGCAGUGGGGAAUCUUCCGCAAUGGACGAAAGUCUGACGGAGCAACGCCGCGUGAGUGAUGACGGCCUUCGGGUUGUAAAGCUCUGUUAAUCGGGACGCGGUACCGGAAUAGAAAGCCACGGCUAACUACGUGCCAGCCGCCGCGGUAAUUC